rnacentral:misc_RNA from 1 species
GGUUAAGCAGAAUUUGCAUAGGGUGCAGCUUAGAGUAAGCAACAUCAUCAGCAAAUUUUGGCAGGUUUUGGAAAAAAUUGUGAUUUUACUUACCAAAAACAGUGCAAAUGCUAUGGAAUGCUAUCAUGACCCUCAGCAAUUACCAAAUACACAUUAAUAUCACAAAAUUGAAGAAUUUAAGCUCAUCAUCUCUCAUAAACUUAUCAAGCAUAGUGCAAGCAUGUGGUAAUUAGCUCAAAUUAGGCACAAAUUGUGAUUACCCUUUGCAAACAUAAUAAGAUGGUCUUAUUCCUAAGCUUAUACCCAAAGCACAUUUUCAGUAGCAUUUGAGACAA